AGAGUUUGAUCAUGGCUCAGAGCGAACGCUGGCGGCAGGCCUAACACAUGCAAGUCGAGCGCCGUAGCAAUACGGAGCGGCAGACGGGUGAGUAACGCGUGGGAACGUGCCCUUCGGUUCGGAAUAACUCAGGGAAACUUGAGCUAAUACCGGAUACGUCCGAAAGGAGAAAGAUUUAUCGCCGAAGGAUCGGCCCGCGUAAGAUUAGCUAGUUGGUGAGGUAACGGCUCACCAAGGCUCUGAUCUUUAGCUGGUCUGAGAGGACGAUCAGCCACACUGGGACUGAGACACGGCCCAGACUCCUACGGGAGGCAGCAGUGGGGAAUAUUGGACAAUGGGCGCAAGCCUGAUCCAGCCAUGCCGCGUGAGUGAUGAAGGCCUUAGGGUUGUAAAGCUCUUUUGGCAGGGACGAUAAUGACUGUACCUGCAGAAUAAGCCCCGGCCAACUUCGUGCCAGCAGCCGCGGUAAUACGAAGGGGGCUAGCGUUGCUCGGAAUCACUGGGCGUAAAGCGCACGUAGGCGGGUCGUUAAGUCGGGGGUGAAAUCCUGGAGCUCAACUCCAGAACUGCCUUCGAUACUGGCGAUCUUGGAGUCCGGGAGAGGUGGGUGGAACUGCGAGUGUAGAGGUGAAAUUCGUAGAUAUUCGCAAGAACACCAGUGGCGAAGGCGGCUCACUGGCCCGGUACUGACGCUGAGGUGCGAAAGCGUGGGGAGCAAACAGGAUUAGAUACCCUAGUAGUCC
rnacentral:rRNA from 1 species